rnacentral:lncRNA from 1 species
CCAAGUGACCGUUUGGUCAAACAUAUAAGAGCACGAGAAACGGAUAAGGUUCCUUUGUAACAAACUUUUAUCUUCUUCUUUCUCUGUUGUACUCUCGAUCAAUCACCAUUGACGAGAACUCUAAGCUUCUGUAAAACAACUCCGAGCCAUAGUGAAUUCCGGGAAUAAUCUUGAAGAGAGAUGUACCCUGGUUAAUAGGGGAACUCUAUAAACUUGCGUGUCGUAGUCUUUCUUUUCUCAUUGCUUACCAUCUUAAUCUGUGAGUCGCGACACAUCUUGAGAGAUACGAGCUGUGAGAGAGCGAGAUUGUACGAAUGAUCAAGCGGGAAGGAUUGAGCUGGAUCUGCAACAAUUGGUAUCAGAGCCAGGUUGAAGACGAUCGGUGCAGAUUCAAACGGAGUUCACAAAGUCAUCGGUAAAGAAACUUACGAAGAUCGGAGAAGAAGGAGAACGCAUCGGAGCUUCACGGAUCACUGGUGAAACUCCAGAGCGUACCUGGAAAAGUUGUUCGAACAAGCUCGGAUUAAAGGAGCUCAGGGAGUAUCUCUAAAACAAACCGCUAGAAAACUACUUAGAUCAUACCGUGCAAAACUCUUUCGGAUAUCUUGAAUCUUGAAUUGCAUAGCAAACUCUUAGGUUAUCGGAAAUCUUCGUGAUACUUCUGACUUGGGGUUAUCUUUUGGUUGUUUACCUACAGGUACACAUAACAGAUAACGAGAAUCACAAAGAUGGAGCCUACACCAGGCAAGUUUCAGAUGGAUAAGUUCGAUGGGAAGGGUGACUUUGGUAUGUGGAAGUAUAAGCUACAGGGUCAGUUAGAGAUACAGGGUCUACUGUCUGUCCUUCAAGAAGUUCCUACGUCAACGAUGGAAAAAGGAAAGGACAGUGAUGACUCAGAGGAAAAGGUAGAUCCAAAACGGGCUGAGAAGGACUUACGGGUGCGGAGUCUUCUAGGAAUAUGCCUGUCAGAUACUAUCUUGCGGAAGAUAAUGAACGAAGCGACGGCAUUGGACAUGUGGAAAACUCUCGAAAGAGAUUAUCAAACCAAGUCGCUACCGAACAGGAUCUAUCUGAAACAACAGUUCGCUAGCUACAAAAUGGAUGAGAGCAAGACCAUUGAAGAAAAUCUAGACACAUUCUUAAGACUAAUAGCUGACCUGGCUAGUCUUGACAUAAAGAUCCUGGAUGAGGACCAAGCAAUUCAGGUCCUAUCGGGGUUACCUCCUCAAUAUGAGCCACUUGUACAUACUCUCAAGUAUGGAAUGGGCAAAGAUACCUUGACAUUGCGGGAGGUAACCACAUCAGCCUAUACAAAGGAGGUGGAGCUAAGGCAGAAAGGUCUGCUAAACAAAGGAAAAUCUAGUUCAGAGGGUUUUUUUUGUUGAAGGCAGAGGAAGGUCAGAAAAGAGGAAUGAUCAGGGCAAUUGUGGAAGGAACACAAGCAGGGGAAGGUCUAAGUCUAAAGAUCCUAAGAAAAGGGCUUGUUGGAUCUGCGGAGAUGAGAACCACUGGAAGAGAGAUUGUCCACAGAGGAAGAAAGGAGGCCACUCGAAUAAACCUCAAAGUACUGGAAACGUAGCUACAGCAGUCUCCGAACCCAUUGCUCUAACAGAAAGUCUCGUAGCUUCAGAGGAGCAAUGGAUAAUGGACUCAGGGUGUACAUUCCAUAUUACGCCAAAGAAAGUGCUACUGUCAGACCUGAAAGAGUUCGAAGGUAAUAAGGUUCUUAUGGGGAAUAACACCUACUGUAUGGUAAAGGGUAUGGGGAAGAUUACCAUUGAUAACCCAGACCGAACCGUGGUGAUUCUCAAAGACGUGAGAUACAUUCUUGACAUGGGAAGGAAUCUCAUAUCAUACGGCCAAUUGGAACAAGCAGGAUGUUCCUACAGUGGGAAAGAUCGUGUAGUUGAGUUCUACAAAGGAGGGAAGAAAGUCUUGGCUGGAAAAUAUCAAGAAGGCCUCUACUACCUUCAGGGAAGUGUUAGACCUGCACAAGCAAAUGCAGUAAAACCAUCAGAAGAUAUUACUAAGGUCUGGCACAAGAGAUUAGCACAUCUAAAUCAGAAAUCCAUGGAGAUGUUAGCAAAGAAGGGAUAUUUGAAGAAGGAAGAGGUGCAAAAUCUCGGACUCUGUGAGGCCUGUACUCUCGGAAAGUCUCACAAACAAAGUUUUCCCAAGGCUAAACACACUACUCAAGGGAUAUUAGUGUAUGUGCACUCUGAUUUGUGGGGCUCACCAAAUAUUACCCCAAGCCUAUCAGGGGCUAGAUACUUCAUCACCUUUAUUGAUGAUUUUUCGAAGAAGGUCUGGAUUUAUUUCCUAAAGACUAAGGAUGAGGCUUAUCAACGAUUUGCAGAAUGAAAAGUGUUGGUAGAAAACCAAACAGGUAAAAAGCUGAAAUGUCUUUGCACAGACAAUGGUCUGGAGUUCUGCAAUGCUAAAUUUGAUAAGCUGUGUACAGAUUCAGGUGUUAAAAGACAUAAAACCUGCCCUUACACCCCCCAGCAAAACGGGGUUUCAGAGAGAAUGAAUCGUACUAUAAUGGAUAAAGUGAGAUGUAUGCUGGUCGAGACAGGGUUAAGAGGAAAGUUUUGGGCAGAAGCCGCUUCAACCGCUGUCUACAUUAUCAACAGAUCACCAGCGGCUUCGAUAAACUUUGAAGUCCCAGAGGCUAUAUGGACAGAUGGAAAUCCAGGAUAUAGUCAUCUCAAAAGUUUUGGGUGUGUAGCGUAUGUUCAUACUGUAAAAGACAAGAUAAGUCCGAGAGCUACUAAAGGAAUAUUUCUCGGGUAUGGACAAGGUACCAAAGGAUACAGAAUGUGGCUGUUGGAAGAUCAGAAAGUUGUGAUCAGAAAGGACGUCGUGUUUCAUGAGGAGGUGUUUUUUAAGGAUCUUGAUAGGUCAAGUGACGAGGAAGCACCGAUACAAAACACAAGGACUAAGAAGAAGGUGACAUUCAGCGAUGAAUUGGAGGAGUUCUUGGGGGAAAGAACUACAUCAAAACCAACCUCAAAUUCAGGUGGAGCAGACUCAGGUUAUGAAUCUUCAGAACCGGGACAGAAUGAAGAUUCAGGGACGUUAGAGGUUGAUUAUGAUGCUGCUGCUGGUACAGAAUCAGAGGUGGAACCUGAUACUGAUCAGGGUGUAGAGAACACGUCAGAGGACUUAAGUGAUUAUUUGCUCGCCAGGGAUCGUGUUCGAAGAGAAAUAAGACCACCAUCAAAAUUUGAGGACGCAGAUUUUCUAGCCUAUGCACUAUCAAGUUCAGAGAUAGUGGACAUUGAUGAACCAAAGUCAUAUAUGGAGGCUCGGAAAAGCAAAGAUAAAGAUCUCUGGAAUGGGGCUAGUGAUGAGGAAAUGGAUUCUGUAGCCAAGAAUGACACGUGGAUACUUACGAAGAGACCAGAAAAACAGAAGGUUAUAGGCUGCAAAUGGAUUUAUAAACUCAAGCCGGGUAUACCAGGGGUUGAAGCACCAAGAUAUAAAGCCCGUUUAGUUGCGAAGGGGUUUGCACAAACAGAAGGGGUUGACUAUAAUGAGGUGUUUGCUCCUGUGGUGAAACACGUGUCUAUACGACUACUGUUAUCAGCCGUGGUUCACCAGGAUAUGGAAAUGGAACAACUUGAUGUUAAAACGGCCUUUCUACAUGGAGUUUUACAGGAAAUAAUUUAUAUGAGUCAACCCGAAGGCUAUGUGGAGAAGGGUAAAGAGGAUCAUGUGUGUUUACUGAAGAAAUCUUUGUACGGACUGAAGCAAUCUCCUAGGGAAUGGAACUACAGGUUUCAUACAUUUAUGGUGAAGCAAAAGUACAAGAGAAGUGAAUAUGAUCCGUGUGUUUAUCUUAAAGGGUCCAAUUCAGAAGACAUGGUCUACUUACUCAUAUACGUGGAUGACAUGUUAAUAGCAUCUAAGAAAAUGGAUGUUAUUGACAAGUUGAAGACAUUGUUAAAGUCAGAGUUUGAAAUGAAGGAUUUAGGGGCUGCUCGGAAGAUUCUAGGAAUGGACAUUUUCAGAGACAGGAAGAAAGGUGUGUUGAGGCUUUCACAGAGUGAUUAUUUGGUUAAAGUCUUAAAAACUUUUAACAUGUGGGAGAGCAAGUCAGUUCAAACACCUCUAGGUCCUCAAUUCAAACUACAAAGCCUAAGUGAAAAGCAGGAGUUGGAGCAAUCAGAGUUUAUGAGUAACAUACCGUAUGCGAGUGCUGUUGGCAGCCUCAUGUAUGCCAUGGUAGGUUCCAGGCCGGAUCUUGCUUACGCAGUUGGACUAGUUUGCAGGUUCAUGGGAAAACCUGGUAAAGAUCAUUGGUUAGCUGUACAAUGGAUCAUGAGGUAUGUUAAAGGAGCGGCAGAGUUGAACUUAACUUUUACGAAAGGAUCAGACUUCAGGAUCAAGGGCUUUUGCGACUCAGACUUUGCAUCAGAUCUGGAUCGACGCAGGUCAAUUACAGGAUAUGUCUUCACUGUUGGAGGUAAUACAGUCAGCUGGAAAUCGGUUCUCCAGAAGGUUGUUGCUUUAUUUACAACGGAAGCGGAGUACAUGUCAUUAUCAGAGUCGGUCAGAGAAGCAUUAUGGUUAAAAGGGAUUUGUGAAGAAAUGGGAUUUGAACAAGAUGCAGUAGAGGUAAAUUGCGAUUCACAAAGUGAGAUUUAUUUGGCUAAGAACUAUAUGCAUCAUGAACAGACUAAGCAUGUUUCUGUGAAAUACCAUUUUAUUCGAGACUACAUCUCAGAUGGGGAAGUGAAAGUGUUGAAAAUUCACACAUCGGUUAAUCCGGCGGAUAUGCUUACUAAGGUCUUACCUGGAGAAAAGUUCGAAGGGUGCUUGAAGACCUUGAAGGUUGUCGACAUCUGAAGAUCGUCGAGGGUCGUCUCCAGUUCUAGGAGAUGACAAAGGGGGCCUCCGGGAUCCAAGCGGAGGGUGAGUGAGCUGAGUUCUGGUCCAUAAGGCUCAGUGGUAAGCUCGUUUCAGAUGGUGGAAGGUUGUUCUGUCAUUGGUGCCAGGAUCGGAUUUCACGGAGUAUUGUCGUGUUCAGACAUUAGGGUUGGUGAGACACGAACCAAGGUGGAGUUUUGUAGAAGAUGGUUCGAUCUCAAGUCAACCGGAGCUGAGUUAUUGAGCUUCGAGAAGUUAGGCCCAAUAACUCGAGCCAGACAGAAGCUGGGCCAGGAAAUUGGUAGGCCCAAGUGACUGUUUGGUCAAACAUAUAAGAGCAUGAGAAACGGAUAAGGUUCCGUUGUAACAAACUUUUAUCUUCUUCUUUCUCUGUUGUACUCUCGAUCAAUCACCAUUGACGAGAACUCUAAGCUUCUGUAAAACAACUCCGAGCCAUAGUGAAUUCCGGGAAUAAUCUUGAAGAGAGAUGUACCCUGGUUAAUAGGGGAACUCUAUAAACUUGCGUGUCGUAGUCUUUCUUUUCUCAUUGCUUACCAUCUUAAUCUGUGAGUCGCGACACAUCUUGAAAGAUACGAGCUGUGAGAGAGCGAGAUUGUACGAACGAUCAAGCGGGAAGGAUUGAGCUGGAUCUGCAACAUCUCUGUUUUUUUUAAAAAAAAAUUGUUAUUUCUAUUGUUGAAGUAGCC